AGUGAACGCUGGCGGUAGGCCUAACACAUGCAAGUCGAACGGCAGCACAGUAAGAGCUUGCUCUUACGGGUGGCGAGUGGCGGACGGGUGAGGAAUACAUCGGAAUCUACUUUUUCGUGGGGGAUAACGUAGGGAAACUUACGCUAAUACCGCAUACGACCUACGGGUGAAAGCAGGGGAUCUUCGGGCCUUGCGCGAUUGAAUGAGCCGAUGUCGGAUUAGCUAGUUGGCGGGGUAAAGGCCCACCAAGGCGACGAUCCGUAGCUGGUCUGAGAGGAUGAUCAGCCACACUGGAACUGAGACACGGUCCAGACUCCUACGGGAGGCAGCAGUGGGGAAUAUUGGACAAUGGGCGCAAGCCUGAUCCAGCCAUACCGCGUGGGUGAAGAAGGCCUUCGGGUUGUAAAGCCCUUUUGUUGGGAAAGAACAGCAGCAGGUUAAUACCCCGCUGUUCUGACGGUACCCAAAGAAUAAGCACCGGCUAACUUCGUG
rnacentral:rRNA from 1 species